CAAACCAGUGACUGUCUGCAAGU
rnacentral:siRNA from 1 species